UACGGAGGGAGCUAGCGUUGUUCGGAAUUACUGGGCGUAAAGCGCGCGUAGGCGGCUUUGUAAGUUAGAGGUGAAAGCCCGGGGCUCAACCCCGGAAUUGCCUUUAAGACUGCAUCGCUUGAAUCCGGGAGAGGUGAGUGGAAUUCCGAGUGUAGAGGUGAAAUUCGUAGAUAUUCGGAAGAACACCAGUGGCGAAGGCGGCCCACUGGACCGGCAUUGACGCUGAGGUGCGAAAGCGUGGGGAGCAAACAGG
rnacentral:rRNA from 1 species